UGAGGGACGAGGAAGAAAGAGAGUCGCUAAGAGCGGCGGGAAUAGGAACAUAGAGGAAAGCCUCAGGCUCAUUUUCUCCUCUAGCAUCAGCGGUAGAAAUUUGCUUCGUGUUUUCCCGAUGCCUCCUAUUCCUAUCGAUCUUAGGUACUCCUUCCUCUUCCUUUCGGCU
rfam:Dichanthelium oligosanthes cultivar Kellogg 1175 unplaced genomic scaffold Do_version_2_scaffold3936, whole genome shotgun sequence.